AUGGAUGAGCAUUUGAAAAGCAAAGCAACACAGUUUUUAUUUGUGAAAGUUCCACGAAAUCCCCAAUCUCGGAGGCGAAUUGGAUAGACAGAAUGGACAUUAUUGAGAAUUUCAAUGUCGUGACGAUGGUACAUAAGCAAACAUCAAUUGUUCUGCAAUACACGAUACGGUCCGCCAAGCUGGUGACAAUCCGAAACAAGAAAUGUGUGGUCAGUCUGGUUUGGGCAGGACAGCUGGAUGUAAUCUAUGCAGCGUUGUUGACAACACGGACAAAAUUGGCAAAAAGGUACUCAAAAAUCAGUUACAAAGUUGUACCGCAAUGACCCGUUGGACCAGAUUACAAUCGUCGUGCGUUAACUACGACCGUCAGCUAGAACCAGCUCCUAGCGGCUGAUAUAAAUGUAGCGGAGCAGGUGACUUAUUACCCGCAGACUAUUUCUCGCACGGUAAUUGGAACGUGUUGCCCAUCGAAAUAAUCAGCUGAAGAGGUUAUUUGAUAAUAAUGAACUACGAGCUAAAAACUCUAUACACCAAAACAUAAAUUGGUCAGCUUUCGUAAAGAAUCCAUAUUUUUGACGCCAAGAAAUGACGGGGAUUGUAGCUGCCCUUAAACAGACGAUCACGAAACACAAGAACAAAAUCAGCAGUUAAAAAAGAAUGGAAGCUAACUAUCGUCAGAGGGAUUAACUGUUGCAGCAAAACAACGAAACAAAUUAUCGAAAUCCAAAAAGUUCGAAAAUAGCUAAUCAAAGAUAGGCUCUUGGAUCAGCGUAGGCAAGGAAUUCUUCGGAGGAGUGAAGCACAUACGCAACAAUCACAAUAAGACCAUCGGGAACUCCAGAAAUGUAAUUAAAAGAGUG